UACAGAGGUCCCAAGCGUUGUUCGGAUUCAUUGGGCGUAAAGGGUGCGUAGGCGGCGCGGUAAGUCGGGUGUGAAAUCUCGGAGCUUAACUCCGAAACUGCAUUCGAUACUGCCGUGCUUGAGGACUGGAGAGGAGACUGGAAUUUACGGUGUAGCGGUGAAAUGCGUAGAGAUGUGGAGGAACACCAGUGGCGAAGGCGACUCUUUGGCCUGUAACUGACGCUGAGGCGCGAAAGCGUGGGGAGCAAACAGG
rnacentral:rRNA from 1 species